rnacentral:rRNA from 1 species
GACGAACGCUGGCGGCGUGCUUAACACAUGCAAGUCGAACGGAAAGGCCCUGCUUGCAGGGUCCUCGAGUGGCGAACGGGUGAGUAACACGUUGGUGAUCUGCCCUGCACUUCGGGAUAAGCCUGGGAAACUGGGUCUAAUACCGGAUAGGAGCCAUUUUUAGUGUGAUGGUUGGAAAGUUUUUUCGGUGUAGGAUGAGCUCGCGGCCUAUCAGCUUGUUGGUGGGGUAAUGGCCUACCAAGGCGGCGACGGGUAGCCGGCCGGAGAGGGUGGACGGCCACAUUGGGACGGAGAUACGGCCCAGACUCCUACGGGAGGGAGCAGUGGGGAAGAUUGCACAAGGGGAGCAAGCCUGAUGCAGCGACGCCGCGUGGGGGAUGACGGCCUUCGGGUUGGAAACUCCUUUCGCUAGGGACGAAGCUUUUUGUGACGGUACCUAGAGAAGAAGCACCGGCUAACUACGUG